UACGUAGGGUGCAAGCGUUAAUCGGAAUUACUGGGCGUAAAGCGUGCGCAGGCGGCUAUGCAAGACAGAUGUGAAAUCCCCGGGCUCAACCUGGGAACUGCAUCUGUGACUGCAUCGCUGGAGUACGGUAGAGGGGGAUGGAAUUCCGCGUGUAGCAGUGAAAUGCGUAGAUAUGCGGAGGAACACCGAUGGCGAAGGCAAUCCCCUGGGCCAAUACUGACGCUCAUGCACGAAAGCGUGGGGAGCAAACAGG
rnacentral:rRNA from 1 species